rnacentral:rRNA from 1 species
AGUGGCGAACGGGUGAGUAACGCGUAGGAAAUUACCUCUAAGUUGGGGACAACCUGAAGAAAUUCAGGCUAAUACCGAAUGUGCUGGAAACAGUAAAGGAUUUAUUCGCUUAGAGAUGUGCCUGCGUCUGAUUAGCUAGUUGGUAGGGUAAAGGCCUACCAAGGCGAUGAUCAGUAACCGACUUGAGAGAGUGUACGGUCACACCGGAACUGAGACACGGUCCGGACUCCUACGGGAGGCAGCAGCUAAGAAUCUUCCGCAAUGGACGAAAGUCUGACGGAGCGACACCGCGUGAUUGAUGAAGGCCGAGAGGUUGUAAAGAUCUUUUACUAGUGAGGAUAAUGACGUUAGCUAGUGAAUAAGCCCCGGCAAAUUACGUGCCAGCAGCCGCGGUAAUACGUAAGGGGCGAGCGUUGUUCGGAAUUAUUGGGCGUAAAGGGCGCGUAGGCUGUCCUGAAAGUCUGGAGUUAAAGACCUCAGCUUAACUGAGGAAGUGCUUUGGAAACUGCAGGACUAGAAUUGGGCAGGGAGAGUCGGAAUUCCUAGUGUAGGGGUAAAAUCUGUUGAUAUUAGGAAGAACACCAGAGGCGAAGGCGGACUCUUGGGCUUGAAUUGACGCUGAGGCGCGAAAGCGUAGGUAGCAAACAGGAUUAGAUACCUUGGUAGUCUACGCUGUAAACGUUGCACACUUGG